CCUGCCUGCAUACAUGGAUCUCAACCCUAUUGAAAAUCUUUGGCCUAUCAUUAAACAAGAUGUUUAUGCUAAUGGAUGCCAACUUACAUCAAAAGAUGUCUUAUUGGCAACCAUCAAAGCUGCAGUUGAGGAAGUCUAACUUGCUACUAUUAAGAAAUUGACAGAUUCCAUAACUAAUCGGGUUUUUGAAGUUAUCCGUCGAAAUGGCACUCAUGUGGCUAAAUAAUUCAUUAUGUUAAUAAAUGUUAUAAUAUUAUUAUAGUUUUCUGUUAAAUAUAUACUCAAUGUAUGCUUAAUAUGUA